UUUUUGUAACCUGGUUAUUAAUAUUACGUUUAAUAUAAAAUUUACUUUCCAUUACUGAAAAACAUUACAGUGGCGACAAAAACUUUUACAUAGCAUGCUCCUACAACAUAAAUAUUAUGACAUAACAAGAGAGAGAGGGGGUAACCUUUGAAUGUAGUUCAAAAAGAACUGGACUCAGGAACGGGCAUCUCCAUCACCUGUAACGUCCCCUCCACUACACUUACCCACCACUCUUUGCGGGAUGUUUGGAGUAUUGGUCUCGGAGACUUGACCUCUGUGUCUGAUACUUAAUAUUGCAAAAAAGGGUUACCUUA